GACAGAGGGUGCGAACGUUGCUCGGAAUUACUGGGCGUAAAGCGUGCGCAGGCGGUGAUGUAAGACAGAUGUGAAAUCCCCGGGCUCAACCUGGGAACUGCAUUUGUGACUGCAUCGCUGGAGUGCGGCAGAGGGGGAUGGAAUUCCGCGUGUAGCAGUGAAAUGCGUAGAUAUGCGGAGGAACACCGAUGGCGAAGGCAAUCCCCUGGGCCUGCACUGACGCUCAUGCACGAAAGCGUGGGGAGCAAACAGG
rnacentral:rRNA from 1 species